AAAUAUCUAAUCUAAGAUGUGAUUUUAAAGUCUUUUCUGCAAUCAAUAGUUCAACACAAUGAACUAUUACAUGCCCUGUUACACAAUAGUAGGAGAGGUGCAGCUAGACUGUCGGUACACAGGUGAAACUAAGAGAGAUGGUAAUAACCCUUUAUGUGAUGACUCUUGCAACAACCACCACAACGCACUCUGAGUUUGCCAUCCAGUCUGGUGUCACAUGAAAAACGUUUUGUGCAUGUUUCCUCUAGUUUGGAGAAUAGAAAGCUCCCUAACUGAGGAAGGAGGAUUCUAGAAGAACCCAAAAAGCAAUCUGAAAUGAGACACUACAGAACUGUGAAGGAGCCUGUGGGCGCUCUCCAUCCACAUGGCUGCUUCUCUAUCAGCUUGUGGACUGCCUGCUUAGAGGCUGUCUGGCAAUAUAUUAACCCCCUGGGCAUGUACAGGCAUUGAAGAUACCAUUAGCUCCAGGACACUUCUCAGUCACACUUCUUGCAAACCAGCAAAACCGGCAGGUCUGGUGAAGCAGGGCUUAUCAUCUGACUCUGCUGUGCCUGGGUACAUAUUGAUAUCAGCAAUGGCCAUGCGCCUGGCCUGGCAGAUGGCCAGGGCAUCGUGGAUGUUUCUGUACUGCUGUACUGGACAGGCUGGAACUUCAGUGUGAACUUGAGUCAAACGGACUGUGACCUGUGGAUGAGUCCAUGCGGGAGCAGGACACCCUGAAGCCUCUGUGGCGGUGGAUGAGUCCACACCAGAGCAGGUAAACCUCAAAGCGUCUGUGGCUGUGGUUAUGUCUGCUGCAGCAGGUAUACCUCUGAAGGGAUUGUGGCCCAAGCAUGAGUCCACACUGGCAAAGG